rnacentral:tRNA from 1 species
GCCCAGAUGGCGGAAUUGGUAGACGCGCUAGUUUCAGGGACUAGUAUAAGCAAUUAUGUGCAGGUUCGAGUCCUGUUCUGGGCA